rnacentral:rRNA from 1 species
AAUGGGCGAAAGCCUGACGCAGCAAUUCCGCGUGGUCGAUGACGCUUUUCGGAGUGUAAAGACCUUUCGGCAGUGACGAUAAUGACGGUAACUGCAAAAGAAGCACCGGCUAACUACGUGCCAGCAGCCGCGGUAAUACGUAGGGUGCAAGCGUUGUCCGGAUUCAUUGGGCGUAAAGAGUUCGUAGGCGGUUUACCAAGUCCGGAGUUAAAAUUCGGGGCUCAACCCCGUCAUGGCUUCGGAAACUGGUAAGCUAGAGUCUGGUAGAGGCAAGGGGAAUUCUCGGUGUAGCGGUGAAAUGCGUAGAUAUCGGGAGGAACACCAGUGGCGAAAGCGCCUUGCUGGCCCAGUACUGACGCUGAGGAACGAAAGCCAGGGUAGCGAAAGGGAUU